rnacentral:misc_RNA from 1 species
AAAGUCGUAACAAGGUCUCCGUAGGUGAACCUGCGGAGGGAUCAUUAACACGUUCUAAACAACGUUUAACCCUAUCAACCAACCACGUGAACUAUUUAAUUCCCUGACCUGGGAGUGAGAGAACUCUGUCCAUUCGCACUAAUGAUGAGCUUUUUAACGAAAGCGGUGUGUUUAGACUAGUAAAGCAACUAACAUUCGCAAGGAUGUUCUUUGACUCUACAAGACCUUUCCCUUUCAGGCUUUAAUCCAAUGUUCCUCUCAUCACUGGAACGAACAAAACCCCUUUCACCUUUCUAUAACUACCGACUGAUCUUUCUUCUUUGUUCAUUCUUAACGGAAUGUCCCGAAGUCGAAAACUUAAUCAAAUAUCUAAGCACAACUCUUAGCAACGGAUAUCUUGGUUCUC